rfam:Triticum aestivum genome assembly, contig: Triticum_aestivum_CS42_TGACv1_scaffold_577571_7BL
UAUAUAUUCCCUUCGCCCGGAAUUAGUUGUUGCAGAGAUGGAUGUAUCUAGACGUAUUUUAGUUCUUGAUACAUCCAUUUCUAUCCAUUUAUGCGACAAGUAACUCGGAGUGGAGGGAGUAUUGC